rnacentral:rRNA from 1 species
GACGAACGCUGGCGGCGUGCUUAACACAUGCAAGUCGAACGGAAAGGCCCUGCUUUUGUGGGGUGCUCGAGUGGCGAACGGGUGAGUAACACGUGAGUAACCUGCCCUUGACUUUGGGAUAACUUCAGGAAACUGGGGCUAAUACCGUAUAGGAGCUCCUGCUGCAUGGUGGGGGUUGGAAAGUUUCGGCGGUUGGGGAUGGACUCGCGGCUUAUCAGCUUGUUGGUGGGGUAGUGGCUUACCAAGGCUUUGACGGGUAGCCGGCCUGAGAGGGUGACCGGCCACAUUGGGACUGAGAUACGGCCCAGACUCCUACGGGAGGCAGCAGUGGGGAAUAUUGCACAAUGGGCGGAAGCCUGAUGCAGCAACGCCGCGUGCGGGAUGACGGCCUUCGGGUUGUAAACCGCUUUCGCCUGUGACGAAGCGUGAGUGACGGUAAUGAGUAAAGAAGCACCGGCUAACUACGUG